rnacentral:rRNA from 1 species
CCCGCACAAGCGGUGGAGCAUGUGGUUUAAUUCGAUGCAACGCGAAGAACCUUACCUGGGCUUGACAUCCCUGGAAUCCCCUGGAAACAGGGGAGUGCCCUUCGGGGAGCCAGGAGACAGGUGCUGCAUGGCUGUCGUCAGCUCGUGUCGUGAGAUGUUGGGUUAAGUCCCGCAACGAGCGCAACCCUUGUCUUUAAUUGCCAUCAUUCAGUUGGGCACUUUAAAGAGACUGCCGGUGUUAAGCCGGAGGAAGGUGGGGAUGACGUCAAGUCCUCAUGGCCUUUAUGCCCAGGGCUACACACGUGCUACAAUGGGUGGUACAAAGAGAUGCCAACUCGCGAGAGCGCGCCAAUCUCAGAAAGCCAUCCUCAGUUCGGAUUGGAGUCUGCAACUCGACUCCAUGAAGUUGGAAUCGCUAGUAAUCGCGGAUCAGCACGCCGCGGUGAAUACGUUCCCGGGCCUU